GACGAACGCUGGCGGCGUGCUUAACACAUGCAAGUCGAACGGAAAGGCCCUGCUUUUGUGGGGUGCUCGAGUGGCGAACGGGUGAGUAACACGUGAGUAACCUGCCCUUGACUUUGGGAUAACUUCAGGAAACUGGGGCUAAUACCGGAUAGGAGCUCCUGCUGCAUGGUGGGGGUUGGAAAGUUUCGGCGGUUGGGGAUGGACUCGCGGCUUAUCAGCUUGUUGGUGGGGUAGUGGCUUACCAAGGCUUUGACGGGUAGCCGGCCUGAGAGGGUGACCGGCCACAUUGGGACUUAGAUACGGCCCAGACUCCUACGGGAGGCAGCAGUGGGGAAUAUUGCACAAUGGGCCGAAGCCUGAUGCAGCAACGCCGCGUGCGGGAUGACGGCCUUCGGGUUGUAAACCGCUUUCGCCUGUGACGAAGCGUUAGUGACGGUAAUGGGUAAAGAAGCACCGGCUAACUACGUG
rnacentral:rRNA from 1 species